rnacentral:rRNA from 1 species
AACGAACGCUGGCGGCAGGCUUAACACAUGCAAAUCGAGCGCCCCGCAAGGGGAGCGGCAGACGGGUGAGUAACGCGUGGGAAUCUACCCAUCCCUACGGAAUAGCUCCGGGAAACUGGAAUUAAUACCGUAUACGCCCUACGGGGGCAAGAUUUAUCGGGGAUGGAUGAGCCCGCGUUGGAUUAGCUAGUUGGUGGGGUAAAGGCCUACCAAGGCGACGAUCCAUAGCUGGUCUGAGAGGAUGAUCAGCCACAUUGGGACUGAGACACGGCCCAAACUCCUACGGGAGGCAGCAGUGGGGAAUAUUGGACAAUGGGGGCAACCCUGAUCCAACCAUGCCGCGUGAGUGAUGAAGGCCUUAGGGUUGUAAAGCUCUUUCACCGGGGAAGAUAAUGACGGUACCCGGAGAAGAAGCCCCGGCUAACUUCGUGCCAGCAGCCGCCGUAAGAC